rnacentral:rRNA from 1 species
AUGGGCCCACGGACCAUUAGCUUGUUGGUGGGGUAACGGCCUACCAAGACAAUGACGCCUAGCUGGUCUGAGAGGAUGAUCAGCCACACUGGAACUGAGACACGGUCCAGACUCCUACGGGAGGCAGCAGUGGGGAAUAUUGCACAAUGGAGGAAACUCUGAUGCAGCAACGCCGCGUGGAGGAAGAAGCAUUUCGGUGUGUAAACUCCUUUUAUAUAGGAAGAUAAUGACGGUACUAUAUGAAUAAGCACCGGCUAACUCCGUGCCAGCAGCCGCGGUAAUACGGAGGGUGCAAGCGUUACUCGGAAUCACUGGGCGUAAAGCGCAUGCAGGCGGUUUAUAAAGUCAGAAGUGAAAUCCUACAGCUCAACUGUAGAACUGCUUCUGAAACUCAUGAACUAGAGUCUGGGAGGGGAAGAUGGAAUUAGUAGUGUAGGGGUAAAAUCCGUAGAGAUUACUAGGAAUACCAAAAGCGAAGGCGAUCUUCUGGAACAGUACUGACGCUGAGAUGCGAAAGCGUGGGGAGCAAACAGGAUUAGAUACCCUGGUAGUCCACGCAGUAAACGAUGAAUGUUAGUCGUUGGAGUGCUAGACACUUCAGUGAUGCAGUUAACACAUUAAACAUUCCGCCUGGGGAGUACGGUCGCAAGAUUAAAACUCAAAGGAAUAGACGGGGACCCGCACAAGUGGUGGAGCAUGUGGUUUAAUUCGAAGAUACGCGAAGAACCUUACCUAGCCUUGACAUAUAUCAGAACCUGUCAGAGACGACGGGGUGCCUUCGGGAGCUGAUAUACAGGUGCUGCACGGCUGUCGUCAGCUCGUGUCGUGAGAUGUUGGGUUAAGUCCCGCAACGAGCGCAACCCUCGUCACUAGUUACUAACGGUUAGGCCGAGGACUCUAGUGAGACUGCCUUCGCAAGGAGGAGGAAGGUGAGGACGACGUCAAGUCAUCAUGGCCCUUACGGCUAGGGCAACACACGUGCUACAAUGGGCAGGACAAUGAGAAGCGAUACCGCGAGGUGGAGCAAAUCUAUAAACCUAAUCUCAGUUCGGAUUGUAGUCUGCAACUCGACUACAUGAAGCUGGAAUCACUAGUAAUCGUAAAUCAGCUAUGUUAC